GCCUACGGGGGGCAGCAGUAGGGAAUCUUCCACAAUGGGCGAAAGCCUGAUGGAGCAACGCCGCGUGGGUGAAGAAGGUCUUCGGAUCGUAAAACCCUGUUGUUAGAGAAGAAAGUGCGUGAGAGUAACUGUUCACGUUUCGACGGUAUCUAACCAGAAAGCCACGGCUAACUACGUGCCAGCAGCCGCGGUAAUACGUAGGUAGCAAGCGUUAUCCGGAUUUAUUGGGCGUAAAGGGAACGCAGGCGGUCUUUUAAGUCUGAUGUGAAAGCCUUCGGCUUAACCGGAGUAGUGCAUUGGAAACU
rnacentral:rRNA from 1 species